rnacentral:rRNA from 1 species
UACGAAGGGGGCUAGCGUUGCUCGGAAUUACUGGGCGUAAAGGGCGCGUAGGCGGCUUUUCAAGUCAGGGGUGAAAUCCGGCAGCUUAACUGUCGAAGUGCCCUUGAUACUGAUGAGCUCGAGGGAGGUAGGGGUAUGUGGAACUUCCGGUGGAGCGGUGAAAUGCGUUGAUAUCGGAAGGAACGCCGGUGGCGAAAGCGACGUACUGGACCUCUUCUGACGCUGAGGCGCGAAAGCUAGGGGAGCAAACGGG